rnacentral:rRNA from 1 species
UACGGAGGGAGCUAGCGUUGUUCGGAAUUACUGGGCGUAAAGCGCACGUAGGCGGCUUUGUAAGUUAGAGGUGAAAGCCCGGGGCUCAACUCCGGAACUGCCUUUAAGACUGCAUCGCUUGAAUCCAGGAGAGGUGAGUGGAAUUCCGAGUGUAGAGGUGAAAUUCGUAGAUAUUCGGAAGAACACCAGUGGCGAAGGCGGCUCACUGGCCCGUUACCGACGCUCAGGCGCGACGAGCGUGGGGAGCAAACAGG